rnacentral:rRNA from 1 species
UACGUAGGGUGCAAGCGUUAAUCGGAAUUACUGGGCGUAAAGCGUGCGCAGGCGGUGCUGUAAGACAGGCGUGAAAACCCCGGGCUUAACCUGGGAAUGGCGCUUGUGACUGCAGUGCUGGAGUGCGGCAGAGGGGGAUGGAAUUCCGCGUGUAGCAGUGAAAUGCGUAGGUAUGCGGAGGAACACCGAUGGCGAAGGCAAUCCCCUGGGCCUGCACUGACGCUCAUGAACGAAAGCGUGGGGAGCAAACAGG